rnacentral:rRNA from 1 species
AUUUAACGGCGGCGGAAUGCUUUACACAUGCAAGUCGAACGGCAGCACGGAGAGCUUGCUCUCUGGUGGCGAGUGGCGAACGGGUGAGUAAUAUAUCGGAACGUAUCCAAUAAUGGGGGAUAACGAGUCGAAAGAUUCGCUAAUACCGCAUACGCCCUACGGGGGAAAGCAGGGGAUCGUAAGACCUUGCGUUAAUGGAGCGGCCGAUAUCUGAUUAGCUUGUUGGUGAGGUAAAGGCUCACCAAGGCGACGAUCAGUAGCUGGUUUGAGAGAACGACCAGCCACACUGGAACUGAGACACGGUCCAGACUCCUACGGGAGGCAGCAGUGGGGAAUUUUGGACAAUGGGGGCAACCCUGAUCCAGCCAUUCCGCGUGAGUGAAGAAGGCCUUCGGGUUGUAAAGCUCUUUCGCAAGGGAAGAAAACUUAUGAUCGAAUAAAUCAUGAGGUUGACGGUACCUUGAUAAGAAGCACCGGCUAACUACGUGCCAGCAGCCGCGGUAAUACGUAGGGUGCGAGCGUUAAUCGGAAUUACUGGGCGUAAAGCGUGCGCAGGCGGUUUUGUAAGUCGGAUGUGAAAUCCCCGGGCUCAACCUGGGAACUGCGUUCGAAACUGCAAGGCUAGAGUGUGUCAGAGGGGGGUAGAAAUUCCACGUGUAGCAGUGAAAUGCGUAGAGAUG